AUGGAAGACGACCGCCUCACCAUCCUAUGCACCGUCGAGGUCCUCCGGGAGGAGGAGGAGGACUCUGGCAUCGCCGAGGAUAUGCAAAAGCUUCUUUUCCUCUCGUCGGAGUCGAAGAGUACAAGACCUGCAUGCAUGUUGCCGGACGUGACGUUCGUUGUGGAGCAGGCCGAGAUCCAGGCGCACAGGCUCGUCCUUGCCAUGCGGUCACCGGUAUUCGCCGCCGAGCUCCUCGGUGACAUGAGAGAGGGUACCACCCGUCACAUCAUGGUCGAUGACAUGAGCGCCUCAACCUUCAGGGCCAUGCUUCGCUUCAUCUACACCGAUAAGCUGAACAUCAAAAGGAAGGCUAGCGAUGUGGCUUUGAGAAGCCAACGUGGUUGCAAAGAAAAACGUGCGGCGAGACGUCGUGUGGACAUGGCGCUUGACCUGCUCGUUGCCGCUGAUCGCUACGACCUAGAGAAGCUAAGGCUCAUGUGCGACAAGAUACUGUCUGAAAGCAUAGAUGUGGAUUCUGUCACGCCGACGCUGAUGGUGGUGCACGGACGGUUAAGCUGCCGCCAACUGGAGGCAUCUUGCAUCGAUUACUUGGCGUCCGAUGACGACUUGUAUGCCAAUGUCAAGGCCAUGGAGGAGUACAAGGAGCUAGAGGAAAGUUGUUGGUCGUUCACAGCAGAUGUAAUGGACAAAGUAGCCAAACGUAAAUUAGCGGCUAAUGACUCCUCCUUGGGCGCCAACACCAGCCGCCGACGACCAGAGAAAAAGAGUGUGUCGACAUAUAACAUAUCGGAGGUUGUCCGCGGCACAUAUGAGAUGAGGAUCCCCAACUUCGAUAGCAUGCGAAGGAGCUAUAGUGUCAAGCAAACAAUCUUUUCGGAUAUUUUUCAGAUAGGAGGUUAUGACUGGAAGCUAAAGGUAUCAGUAAAGGAAAAGACAAUCUCCGUGUUCGCCAAAUUGUUGACUGAUCCAGGAACCGCUGGUCUUAGGGCAGCCCUGUUUAUGAGGAUGGAUGACCCUGGUGGCAAGUUGCGGCCAAUCGUAAGACGAUUUAAACCAAUCUUCAGCAGGAAAGCAACAACAUGGGGGUAUUCAAAUUUCAUGGGCGCUGAAGGCACCAAGUCACCGUACCAGUACCUGGCACAUGAUGGCUCUCUAACCAUACGCUGCAAUUUCUUAGUUAGUGCCAUUUCAUCCUGUAUCAAAGACACGACUCUUGCGCCACCGCCCAACAUUAUGUGUCACCUUGAGAAGCUGCUAGUGAGCGAGAAGGGCUCAGAUGUGACGUUCCUAUUUGAAAAGAGAGAAAUUCACGCACAUAGCCUCAUCAUUGCCAUACGGUCCCCGGCCCUUUACAUGGUGGUUGUGGCCGCCAACAAGGAGGAGGACAUUGUACCCAUCAAUGAUAUGAAGGCUGCGGUCUUCAAGGCGAUGCUCCACUUCAUCUACACUGACGAGUUGCCUCCUUUGGAAGACAUAGCCCUUGCUGCGGGAGACGGCGUGAUGACUACCGCUGGGGACAUGCUCGCUGCGGCGUGCCGGUUCAAGCUGGACAGGAUGAAGGACAAAUGCGAGACCUUAUUUGGUCAGUCCGUCUCGAAACAGAACGCGUCGAGCAUGCUCAAACUUGCGCGCCAUCACCACUGCGUGAAGCUCAAGGAUUACUGCUUGAAGUUUGAAUAA
rnacentral:rRNA from 1 species